GAUGAAGAACGUAGCGAAAUGCGAUAAGUAAUGUGAAUUGCAGAAUUCAGUGAAUCAUCGAAUCUUUGAACGCACAUUGCGCCCGCCAGUAUUCUGGCGGGCAUGCCUGUUCGAGCGUCAUUUCAACCCUCAGGCCCCCAGUGCCUGGUGUUGGGGAUCGGCCCAGCCUUCCUGUAAGGCCGCCGGCCCCGAAAUCUAGUGGCGGACUCGCUGUAGUCCUCCUCUGCGUAGUAGCACAACCUCGCAGUUGGAACGCGGCGGUGGCCAUGCCGUUAAACACCCACUUCUGAAAGUUGACCUCGGAUCAGGUAGGAAUACCCGCUGAACUUAAGCAUAUCAAUAAGCGGAGGA
rnacentral:misc_RNA from 1 species